UGGGGAAUCUUCCGCAAUGGACGAAAGUCUGACGGAGCAACGCCGCGUGAGUGAAGAAGGUUUUCGGAUCGUAAAACUCUGUCUUUUGGGGCGAACGUGAGUAUGGUGAACAUCAAUAGUCAGUGACGGUACCAAAGGAGGAAGCCACGGCUAACUACGUGCCAGCAGCCGCGGUAAUCGUAGGUGGCAAGCGUUGUCCGGAAUUAUUGGGCGUAAAGAGCGCGUAGGCGGGAUAGUCAGUCUGUUGUAAAGUGCGGGGCUCAACCCCGUGAUCGCAAUGGAAACAGCUAUUCUUGAGUGCAGGAGAGGAAAGUGGAAUUCCCAGUGUAGCGGUGAAAUGCGUAGAUAUUGGGAGGAACACCAGUGGCGAAGGCGACUUUCUGGACUGUGUCUGACGCUGAGGCGCGAAAGCCAGGGGAGCGAACGGGAUUAGAUACCCCGGUAGUCCUGGCCGUAAACGAUGGGUACUAGGUGUGGGAGGUAUCGACCCCUUCCGUGCCGGAGUUAACGCAAUAAGUACCCCCGCCUGGGGAGUACGGUCGCAAGACUGAAACUAAAGAAUUGACGGGGUCAUAGCUGUUUCCU
rnacentral:rRNA from 1 species